rnacentral:rRNA from 1 species
CCGCGGCAAGACGGAAAGACCCCGUGAACCUUUACUAUAGCUUGACACUGAACAUUGAGCCUUGAUGUGUAGGAUAGGUGGGAGGCUUUGAAGUGUGGACGCCAGUCUGCAUGGAGCCGACCUUGAAAUACCACCCUUUAAUGUUUGAUGUUCUAACGUGGACCCGUGAUCCGGGUUGCGGACAGUGUCUGGUGGGUAGUUUGACUGGGGCGGUCUCCUCCUAAAGAGUAACGGAGGAGCACGAAGGUUGGCUAAUCCUGGUCGGACAUCAGGAGGUUAGUGCAAUGGCAUAAGCCAGCUUGACUGCGAGCGUGACGGCGCGAGCAGGUGCGAAAGCAGGUCAUAGUGAUCCGGUGGUUCUGAAUGGAAGGGCCAUCGCUCAACGGAUAAAAGGUACUCCGGGGAUAACAGGCUGAUACCGCCCAAGAGUUCAUAUCGACGGCGGUGUUUGGCACCUCGAUGUCGGCUCAUCACAUCCUGGGGCUGAAGUAGGUCCCAAGGGUAUGGCUGUUCGCCAUUUAAAGUGGUACGCGAGCUGGGUUUAGAACGUCGUGAGACAGUUCGGUCCCUAUCUGCCGUGGGCGCUGGAGAACUGAGGGGGGCUGCUCCUAGUACGAGAGGACCGGAGUGGACGCAUCACUGGUGUUCGGGUUGUCAUGCCAAUGGCACUGCCCGGUAGCUAAAUGCGGAAGAGAUAAGUGCUGAAAGCAUCUAAGCACGAAACUUGCCCCGAGAUGAGUUCUCCCUGAGACUUUAGGUCUCCUGAAGGAACGUUGAAGACGACGACGUUGAUAGGCCGGGUGUGUAAGCGCAGCGAUGCGUUGAGCUAACCGGUACUAAUGAACCGUGAGGCUUAACCUU